GCCUAUGGCCAUACCACCCUGGGAACACCCGAUCUCAUCUGAUCUCAGAAGCCAAGCAGGGUUGGGCUCAGUUAGUACUUGGAUGGGAGACCGCCUGGGAAUCCCGGGUGCUGUAGGCU
ensembl:rRNA 5S_rRNA 5S ribosomal RNA